UCAUUUUGUUUCAUUCAGUUUAGUGAUCAGUGUGUGGGUUUUUUUUUUGGUUUUUUUUCCCCCCUGUUAUUUGCAUUUGUCUAAUUAAAACACAUGGACCAGUAACCAAAAAAUGGAAAAUAUGUUUUAUGCUGAAAAGCCCAUUGUACAUUUAAAAAUGUUAUUAAAUGCACUGUAGUUGCUGUCGCCUUGUGAGCUCAGCUGUCUAUUUAGCUUUGGCAUAAAAAAGCCUGACCCUAGACUAUUUUGUUCAGUAGUGGCUGGUAUAAUGCAUUUUCUUUUCAAGGCUGACACUGGCUCACAGGCUGUUUGAGCCUUUGUUUGUGUGGCAAUCCC